rnacentral:rRNA from 1 species
GUGCCAGCCGCCGCGGUAAUACCGGCAGCCCGAGUGAUGGCCGAUCUUAUUGGGCCUAAAGCGUCCGUAGCUGGCUGCGCAAGUCCGUCGGGAAAUCCACUCGCCCAACGAGUGGGCGUCCGACGGAAACUGUUCGGCUUGGGGCCGGAGGACCCGAGGGGUACGUCCGGGGUAGGAGUGAAAUCCUGUAAUCCUGCACGGACCACCGAUGGCGAAAGCACUUCGAGAAAACGGAUCCGACAGUGAGGGACGAAAGCCAGGGUCUCCAACCGGAUUAGAAACCCUAGUAGUCC